rnacentral:rRNA from 1 species
UACAGAGGGUGCAAGCGUUGUUCGGAAUUACUGGGCGUAAAGCGCACGUAGGCGGCUUUGUAAGUUAGAGGUGAAAGCCCGGAGCUCAACUCCGGAACUGCCUUUAAGACUGCAUCGCUUGAAUUCAGGAGAGGUGAGUGGAAUUCCGAGUGUAGAGGUGAAAUUCGUAGAUAUCAAGAGGAACACCUGCGGCGAAGGCGGGUUGCUGGGCUGACACUGACGCUGAGGCGCGAAAGCGUGGGGAGCAAACAGG